AUUGCACAAUGGGCGAAAGCCUGAUGUAGCGACGCCGCGUGAGGGACGAAGGUCUUCGGAUUGUAAACCUCUUUCAGCAGGGACGAAGCGAAAGUGACUGUACCUGCAGAAGAAGCACCGGCUAACUACGUGCCAGCAGCCGCGGUAAUACGUAGGGUGCAAGCGUUGUCCGGACUUACUGGGUGUAAAGGGUGCGUAGGCGGGUAUGGAAGUCAGGUGUGAAAUUCCGAGGCUCAACGUCGGAACUGCAUUCGAAACUACCUAUCUUGAGUGAAGGGGAGGUAAGUGGAAUUCCCAGUGUAGCGGUGAAAUGCGUAGAUAUUGGGAGGAACACCAGUGGCGAAGGCGACUUACUGGACUUUAACUGACGCUGAUGCACGAAAGCGUGGG
rnacentral:rRNA from 1 species